rnacentral:rRNA from 1 species
GACGAACGCUGGCGGCGUGCUUAACACAUGCAAGUCGAACGGAAAGGCCCUGCUUUUGUGGGGUGCUCUAGUGGCGAACGGGUGAGUAACACGUGAGUAACCUGCCCUUGACUUUGGGAUAACUUCAGGAAACUGGGGCUAAUACCGGAUAGGAGCUCCUGCUGCAUGGUGGGGGUUGGAAAGUUUCGGCGGUUGGGGAUGGACUCGCGGCUUAUCAGCUUGUUGGUGGGGUAGUGGCUUACCAAGGCUUUGACGGGUAGCCGGCCUGAGAGGGUGACCGGCCACAUUGGGACUGAGAUACGGCCCAGACUCCUACGGGAGGCAGCGGUGGGGAAUAUUGCACAAUGGGCGGAAGCCUGAUGCAGCAACGCCGCGUGCGGGAUGACGGCCUUCGGGUUGUAAACCGCUUUCGCCUGUGACGAAGCGUGAGUGACGGUAAUGGGUAAAGAAGCACCGGCUAACUACGUG